GUGCCGACGGACCUGGCAUCCCGGAGCCCCGGGCCCCGCCGCCGCGCCGCGUCCUUUCCCUCCCCUCCCGCCGCCCAGCGCUGUUCUCGGGGCAGCGGCCAUGGCGGGCGGGAGAGCGGUCCCCGCUGCCGCCCCCCGCGCACGCACGGACGAGCCCUCUCGUACCGUCUGAGCCCCUGGAAGGAGGAGGGCCAGGACAUCCGCGAUUUCUUCAGGCCGGGCCGGUGUCCGGUCUCCACGGCGUAGGAAGCGCGGUCCAUGGCUCGGCAGUAGAGGUCCAGAAAUCGGCUGUUCCCCGACUUGAAAUCAUCGCCCGGUCUGCCAUCUUCCCCGAUGAGUAAGCUCUCUCCCUCCUGCAAGUAAUACUGGCUGUAAAUCAAUGCAAGAAAGGUUUAAUUAUAGUGGUGCUGAGCCUACAGAGAUGCUCUUACAUUUUAAACCACUAGUUCCAGGAGUUUGUGACUGCUGCAGGAAUGACAUUUAAAGACACGCAGAGUUCCUAAAAUCAAGAUUCAGUCUCUGAAGGUGUAAAUCCUCACUUCUAUUUGACAGAACUCCAACUCCUCAAUUUUCAAAGCCAACAAUACUGUCCUAGCCUGAAUCCUGUAAUGGAAAUUAUCUCAGUUUGAUACCUGUUCUCCCUGGAAAAUCAGAGUCCUCAAAAGUACUAAGUCUACUAAAGUCUCAAUAGCAACAGAACAUUCUACAUUUGAGAGCUAUAACUGAAAACGAUUUAGAAAAAUGCACUUUUUCUCCAUUUUCCUGGAACUUGCCUAAGCCUCCUCACAGGAGAUGGGAACCUUCCAGAAAUCCGUGGAAAAAUAAAAAGUAAAGUUCUGAAGAUGGAGGAGGAAACAACAAGGUAUUACUUUCCCAGCUGGAUAGCAGAAGAGCAAGAGAGGAGAGAUUAAGCACAGUCAGCGCUCUUCCCACUUUCUCCUUUCUGCUGCUGUAGGUACAGCAGCAGAUCAAGGGAAGCAUAAUUUCAGAGACAAGCUUUGUGGAGCUUCUUCUUUCUGUAGCAAUAAGGAACAGCACUACUUUGAUUCAACUAUGUUUCCCAGGUCGUUUGUAAACAAUACAAUUACACAGCAUUUUCUGAUUGGAAGAAUCACAAAGUGAGAUUCUUGCCCAUUCUGAACAUUUCUCCAAUUUAUUUUCCACCUUCUCCAUUAAGUUAUUCAUCUGUUCACAUCAAGCAGAGGAAUAUGAGUGACAUCCAUUGUAUUACAUUAAGGUUACACUUGAUCAAACAUAAUGGCUUCAGUUUGCAGGAGUGUAGAAGCACUUCAUUCCCAUAAAACUUGCAUAGCAUCAAAGCCUCUUAAUUUUAAUCUAACUUCUACGAACUGGAAAGCCUAAAGUUAAAAGCAAACCUUGUUGAAACCUAGUUUCACUCAUUUCUCAAGGGAAAAUCAGAAAAUCAUACUGGAUCAACAUUAGGAAAAAAAUCAGAGGAAAAAAGGACCACAUUGCUUAACCAAAAUCCAAAUCAGGUGAAUUUUGCAAUUUUUCAUGAACAUCAUGUUGAAUAAGCUAGAAAAUUCAAAGCCAACUUUAACACUACUAUUUGUAAAGACAGGGCUUUCGGACAAAAUUGGAUAAGAUGCUUAUUUAGAAUUAGAAUUCUUUGGCUGCUUUCUUUUACUGAAAUAAUAUCUGAAACUUUUUACUCAUUAUCUUAGUUACUUUCCUAAUUUCUAAUGAGGGUUUUAAUUACUCAGCACCCUCAUGCAUUUUGUAUUCCCAAUAUUUAAGUUCUUUCAAGAAACAAAGACUACUAAGUAUUACAGUAAGACAACUGAGCCAUUAUUUUUGGUGGAGGUAACCUUGAAAUAACUGCACCGUAAGUUGGCACUUUUCUUUCAACUUCUCUAUACUCUUCAAGACUCUCACAUAUGCUUUAACAGGUUUCCUCAAACAGGUUUCAUCAAGAAAGAUAGAAAGUAAAAUUGGUUUUAUAACAAGCUUUAAAAUAGUGACUUUUCAGGAAGAGGACAGUAGGUAUUUCAGUUGUCUCAUUCCAGCUAGUAAGAAAGCAAGUGAAUGGAAAGAUAAUGGUUCUCCAAGUCUCCUAAAAUAGUUCAGCAGCUAUUCCUUCUUUUUUUCUGUGUGUGUGUGUGUGUGCAUGAGCAUGCACGUGUAAAGUAUCAGACCUACCAAACUUUGUUAGUGUGACUAAUAGUGGUUAGUUACUUAUUCAGAACAAUUUUCAAGAGAAAAUUACAUUCUCGUGUACAAGAUAUUUCAAUUAUUGGACAGCCUGAUUAACAAGUAUCUGAUAUUUUGUCAGGCACAGAGCAAAAUAUACAAAUCAAGUGCAUUUAAAGUAAUUUAAUUAAAGUAUGGAAAUCUCGAACAUCAGAAAUCAAGUUUUAUUUUAAUUAGAAGGAUAAGAGUCUGUGACAGGGGGGAGGAAACUCACAAGCAGUGUCCCUCAGGGAUCGGUCUUGGGACAGGUGCUCUUCAACAUCUUCAUCAAUGACACAGACAAUGGCAUUGAGUGCGCCCUCAGCAAGUUUGCAGACAACACCAAGCUGAGCAGUGCAGUUGAUACAUUGGAAGGAAGGGAAGCCAUCCAAAGGCACCUGGACAGGCUGGAGAAGUUGGCCUGUGAAAACCUAAUGAGGUUCAGUAAGGCCAAAUGCAAGGUGCUACCCUUGGGUCAGGGCAAUUCCAGGUAUUUUUACAAACUGGAGGAAGAUCUCCUGGAGAGCAGCUCGGCAGAGAAGAACUUGAGCCAGCAGUGUGUGUUUGCAGCCCAGAAGGCCAACUGUGUUCUGGGCUGCAUUAAAAAAGGGGUGGCCAGCAGGGACAAGGAGGUGAUUGUCCCCUUCUACUCAGCUCUUGUGAAGCCCCAUCUGCAGAAAUGCGUCCAGGCCUGGGAACCCCAAUAGAGGAAGAAUGUGGAGCUCUGCUAAGAGGAGGGCUGCUAAGAUGAUCAGAGGACUGGAGCAUCUCUCUUAUGAGGAAAGGUUGAAGGAAUUGGGCUUGGUUAGCUUGGAGAAGAGGUGUCUCCAUGGAGACCUCACUGUGGCCUUCCAGUACCUGAGGGGAAUGUAUAAGCAGUAAGGGGAACGGCCGUUUGCAAGGAUGGAUAGUGAUAGGACAAGAGGAAAUAGUUUUAAACUAAGCCAGGGGAUGUUUAAGUUAGAUAUUAGGGGGAAGUUUUUCACACAGAGGGUGGUGACGCACUGGAACAGGUUGCCCAAGAAGGCUGUGGAUGCCCCAUCCCUGGAGGCAUUCAAGGCCAGGCUGGAUGUGGCUCUGGGCAGCCUGGUCUGGUGGUUGGCGACCCUGCACAUAGCAGGGGGUCAAACUAGAUGAUCACUGUGGUCCUUUUCAACCCAGGCCAUUCUGUGAUACUAUGAUACUGUGAUACUGUGAAUCAGUAUCAAUCAUUUUUCUGCAUGAUUUUUAAACAAAUAAAUCAUAAAGAUGUAGAUUUUCUUAACAAGUGAUAUUUCCAGUAAAAGAUUUUUUGAUUAUUGACUUCUCAGAAUCAAAAAUAUUAACAGUUUGAAUAGUAAAAUGUGAUUCGAUAUGUCAGUGGAUUACUUAUUACUUAAAUGAAUGGUAGAGGAGAAAGAAGCAUUCAUUAAUGUGGGUAAGUGACUGUGAAUAUUACCAGUUUAUUUUCCUAUCUGUAACUCUCCAAAGUAAAUUCCUUUAUUGAAGGGUAUUGACAUAUAAAAAAGAAAAUAUUAUUUAUCAAAAUCAUCACUUGUUACUUAUUGUAAUGGGAUUCCAAGGUCACAGCCUGAACCAAUGGGUGAGCUAUGUGAGUACACGAGUACCUAGAGCAGGUAGGGGGGGUCUAAAGCCAGCCCUUCUGUCUCCAUGAUACUUCCAUCUUAGUCAUGCUCUAGUCCUCCUUUUCCCCUGCACCUCUCUGCUGCGAUGCAACGGUACAAACGAGGAGGGUCACAUUGCUCAGCUCGUCCUUUUCUCCAAACUGUUACUGAGACAGAUGAGUUAAUUCCCCUUGGAUAUCCUUUCCUAUAGCACCUAUUUCUCAAAUAAAGUCUCUGUCAAUGCCUUCUUUUGCUCUACACCUCUGAAUUUCACUCUUGCUGAAAAUAUCUUCGUAAUAUUAAUCUUUAGUUGCUGAGCUUAGCUCAGUUUGAUUUGAUAGUUUUCCAUCUAGAACCACUAGGUGUUCUUUUGCUGCUGUCUUCAUUUAAACCUGGAUUGUUUAGCUCAUAUGUGUUACAAGUGAAUGUCAUUUGAACUGCAAUAUUUGCCUGUAGCCUGUACAAUAUAUCAGUUUUAGUUAUGCUCUGAAAAAAUGGAAUUCCUUGGCUGAAAAUCCUUUCACAUUUGUCAAAUGAAUCACUUGCAUAAAGAAAGUACUGCCCUCCAGAGACAAAUUUGAAAGUUCUCACAGGCAAUUGUUUACACAGCAAAAUGCAGUGUUUUUCACAUUCCUUCUUUUAAAAAAUGAUGGAAUGCUUUGAUCUUACCACUCUAGUCGCACCCACAACUUCUCUUCAAUCUUCUUUCCUCUCACCACUAUUUUCAACUUAAGAGAAGUAGAGAAAGAUAAAAUGAUUAAAAACUACUUUUCACUCCUUUAAAAAAUGGAAGCUGAGAUUCUGUUUGAUAUUUCCAGGGUUUAUAAGCCCUUUAGAGAUGCUAGACAGAUUGUGACUAUCCAAGGCAGCAAUCACGAAGAAGAGAUGCUUCAAAACUCUUCUCACAGAAUCACAGAAUCAUAGAAUAGUUUAGAUUGGAAGGCACCUUUAGGAUCAUCUAGUUCCAAUUCCUCUGCUAUAGGCAGGGACACCUCCCCUCACCUGUCUCUCUCUCAAGCCAGAAUUCACUAAAACAUUGUUGCCCUACUUCACCUUCUAACUCGUCAGCAGAGACUCACAGAGACAUGAACAUUUGCCUCAGAAAUUACUGCUUCUUUUACAGGUGACAACACACUGCUUGUAGCAACAAGGUCCAGUUAACAUCUGAAGAUGCUAAAUUGUACUUGAAGAUGGAUUAAGAUGGGGUGAGAGAUAUGGAAAACUGAAAGUGCUGUGGACAGGACACUUUCCACUAGACAAGUCUGCUUAAAGCCUCAUCCAAACAGGCCCUGAACACUUCCAGUGAUGCAACCUUCAUAGUGUCUCUAGGCAACCUGUUCCAGCACCCUCUCAAAGAAGAAUAUCUUCUGAAUAUCUAAUGUAAAUCUAUGUUCUUUUGGUUUAAAACUAUUACCCCCUUGUCCUUUCACAACACUCUCUGAUAAAAGUGUUCCCCUUCAGCUUUCUUGUAGGCCUCCUUCAUAUAUUGUUAGGCAUGUAUGGUCUGGCAAAGUCUUCUGCAGGCUGAAAAACCUCACCACCCUCAGCCUUUCUUCAUAGGAAAGGUGCUCCAGCUUUCUAAUUGUCCUUACGGCCCUUCUCUGGGCCCUUUCCAACAACUCCAUGUCCUUCUUAUGAUAGGGCUCCUGAGAUGUGGUACUUCAGGUGGGAUCUCACAAGGUCACGGAAGGUGACAAUUACCUCCCUCCUUUUGCUGGCCAUCCUUUUUCUGAUGCAACUCAGGAAAUGGUUGUUUUCUGGACCGCAAGCUCACUCUGCUUGCUCAUAUUCGGUUUUUCAUUAGCCAAUGCCCCAAAUCUUUCUCUGAGGGCUGCUCUCAGUUCGUUCUCUGCGCAGCACGUACUUGUGUUUAGGAUUAUCCUGAACCUUGCACUUGGCCUUGUUCUUCAUGAGCCUUGCAAAGGCCCAACCUCUCAAGCCUAUCCUUGUCCCUCUACAUGGCAUUCCUCUAGCAUGUCAGCCACACCACACAGCUUGGUGUUACUGGCAACUUGCUAACAGUCUCACUGUUCAUGUCACUGAGAAAGAUGUUAAAUAGUUCUGGUCCAAAUACAUGCUCCUCAUAGACACAACUCAUCGUUCAUGUCUGCCUACACAUCAGGCUGCUGACUACAACACUAUGAGUGCAACUAUCUGACCAACUCCUUAUUUACUGAGUGGUCCACCCACCAAAUCUGUAUCUUUCUAUGUUGUGUGGGCCAAUGUCAGAUGCUUUUUACAAGUCCUGGUAGAUGAUAUCAGUUGGUCUUCCCUUAUCUACUAAUGCUUUAAUCCCUUUGUAGAAGGCCACCAAAGCUUUCUGGCACAGAACAAUGAAUAUAUUAAUAUCUAUUAAAGAAUAAUUAAGUACAGGUUAUUUUUUUUUCAAUCUGCCAGCUAACAUAAAAUAUGAAGCAAUAAGAUCUGCCCUCAAUUUCUAUAACUAAUAUAGAUAGUUAAUAUUCAUUAAAUGCUGAAGGGAAAACAAUCAUCUCAAUACUUCUUGAUUUCUAUGACUGAAAUAUAGUAGUGAGUAAUGAUUAUAAUCCACUUACUGCUUUAAUUACUGAAAUAAUUGGUGACAGUAAAUGCUGUCAUAAAUAGGGAAUGUUAAAAAGUUACAGUUGAAAUCAUCAAGAUUUUAAAGUAUACAAGAAGACAAUCUUUCCAAUGGAAAAUAUCUGUACAAAACUGGAAUUAUGGCAAUUAAAAAAAAAAAAAGAAAAAAAAAACAAUAACAAAUGCAUCUUUCACAUAUACUUAUGACAGUUCCUUAAUACUACUUGUUACUUCACUAAUACUCAUUUAUACAUAUAUAUAUACAAUACAUACAUUUUCUUAGCUGUGACACAAGAUAGAAAAGCAUAGCUUUUCCUUGAGAUUUCUGUCUGAUUGUGCUUCUCACCAAAAAACUUACUACAAUUACUGCAAUCCUGAUUUACAAGUUCAAUUUUCUGUGGUUUUUAGGGUGACAAGAUUUCUCCAAAUAUCUUCAGAAUUUUUUACAGCAUGUAGGAGAAAUUUCUGAUGCUAUUUUUAAGCUAUUUGUAUUUCUUAAAGUUAUUCUAAUUUAUAAAUAAACAAACCAGGUAAAACUCACUGAAUCCCCUGUGUGAAAGCUGCCAGUCUUACCUCCUGGCAUCACAAAUGAUUAGCAAAAACUUUUGUUCUUGGUUUUCUAAAAUUAUUCAAAGCCAGAAGGGAACACCCAAAACAAUUCCUCUCACUGUAAUGCUAAUAGCAUCUCACGAAUUGGUGCAAAAGGCAGUAGCAGUUGUUGCUGCUGUAUUACAGGUUUACCAUGAAUAUAACUUCUGUUAUCCCAUCAGGGCUCAUUACAAAGCACUCUACGAAAGCUUCUCAAAUUGCGUACACUGUCUGUGCUGGCUGAGACUGAAAAAUGUUGCAUCAUCAAUUGUAGUGCAGCUUUUCACAGGUGUAAGAUAAAUUAAAAUUAAAAAGUUUUAGGCGUGGAUCUCUCUAAAUACAAUUGUUUUUAGCUACUUAGCUACCUGUGGAAUUUAUCAAAACAAGAAGAAACCUUAAAUAUUCUUAGACAAAUUGCAACUUCUACAAUUGUAUUCCAAUUACCCUUGAAAUACACGCUCUCUUACUUCACAAUCUGAUUAUAUUGGGCUGUUCCUACACAGUCCUCUAAAAAUAUCUUGAAAAAGUUAAGUUUAUUUUUCUGGAUCCUUUAUUAGAGGCCAAGAAGGUCUACUGUUCAUCUUUACUUUUCAAUAGAUUGUUCUUGCUAUUAUUUUUGACAGUUGGGGUUGUUGUGUUUUUCUUUGUUUGUUUGUUUGUUUUUUCCCAGAUUGGACAUCAGCGUGUCUGAAAGAUAGGCAGAAUAACCUAAUAUUGGACUUGACUGUCCUCAAGCCUACUGAAAACUCAUACAGCUACCAGCUCCUAGCAGUUCCUUACCAUUCUCAGAAAAUGCAUAUUUCACAUCUGUCAGCAAGUACAUACUUCAUCUGUAAAUGAAAGCACAUAUUUCUAACAGUAAGAAAAGAAUAAUAAAUGGUGCUCCAGCACAGCCUGUAAUUGAAAUGCUACUUAUUUGAAUUGGAAUUCAGGAUGCUUGGGUUGUAUUCAGGACUGCAACAGAGAUCCUAAAAAGUGCAAGAAUCACGAUUCCACUACUCACUGGAGCAUUCGGCAAGAGGAAAACUCCAGAGAGACAAGGCCAUCAGAAGCUUCUAGUACAUAUGCAGUAUUACUCACUGUUGAAAGCUCUGUCUCAAGUACAUUCGUGUGCUUUUUGGCACACAUUUUUAGUUAUUAAGUUAAACUCAUACUUUAACUCUUUUUAAAAACUUCUACAAAGUAACUAGGCUAUAGUUUAUCCAUGAAAUAAAUGACAAGCAUCAUAGGCAUUUUAAUGAAGAGCCUAGAGAUUUUUCAACUAUCAGAGAAAUCAACCUUUGUUAUUUUAUAUUUUUACCCUAUUAGUAAGUUGUGGGUUUUUGCUUGUUUGUUUCUUUGUUUGUUUGUUUGUUUGUUUGUUUUUCUAUACUUCGUUCAGUUUUGGUAAUUUCCUCUUUUAUGACAAUUAAAAUACUGAAAUUCUAAAAGUUUCUAAAUCAUUGUUUACUUUAAGCUAAAAUGUCAUUUAAACUUAAAAGAGAAACUUUUAAGAUGUUUUUUUUCCCCUCCGUAUUCAAUUAAGGCUAAAUUUACAGAGUCGUCUCCAGAGGAAAUCCAGACUGCUGAUGACUUUACAUUAAUCUCCCACACAGCUUUUAGUACUUUUGUGUAGGCCGCAUCUGCCCCCAUUUAAUUAAACAGGGUUUUGCCACUGUUACUAUUUGCAGAACAAUCAGGCUUUGCAAGCAUAUUCUAUAUCAAGAAAUUUUACCCUCAAACAAAAAUAUGACAAAAGUAUAGUCAUUGUCCAAAUUUGUACUAAUUAAUCUGUGAACCAGAAAGCACAAUUAUACAUUUGAAUUUGAUGAAGAGGAGUAAUUGCUACCGACUCAUGCAUGCAUAGUAAGUAAAGUAUCUCAUAAAAAUAUUUAGGGCUAAGGAUUCUUUCACACAUUUUACAUUUUCAAUUGUAAAAUCAAUUUAAACCUUUGACUGAGGAAAAUUACUAAGGUGAUGUCAAGUUUUACAACUGCUUAUUGAAAUAUCUUACUGUAGUUCUCUCUGCACAUAUGAAAAAGAUGUGCUUUUCACAUCCGUAUUUAAGUAGUUAGUUAAUAAUUUUUUUUUUCAAAAUUGUACAGAAGUUUCUGUAAUUUCAUUGUAAUAAAAUGGCUCAGAAACCACAGUACUGAAUAUCACGUACAUCCUUGAUACAUUUUUCUACUCAGCCUUCUCCAUCAGAAUGACCAGAUGUGCUAAACUCAAGGCACACUGAAUUUAGAUCUUUCAAUGAAGACAAGGAACAGUUGAAAAAAAUGAUAAGGAGCAUGAAAGGUAAAUCUGACUCAGUGAGAGACCAAGAAAAGCAGAAUAUGGAUGACUGAUAGAUGUUUUGGACAGUGUCAGAGAUUAUAAUAAAUACCUGUAAGCAUUAGGAAGAUAUGACCAUCUGGAGCAGAAGGAAUAUGAGCUAGGAUAGAGUAAGAGAAGGAAACUGAGGAAGGAAAUUUUGCAGGAAGAUUGCAGUCAGAGAAAGAUACAACCUCUUCAAACUUUCCAGACAGUCAUAAAAAUCCUAUUGCUCAAAUACAAAACUAGGGAAAAAGAACUAAAAGUCCACAGUACUGACUUGCCCCCAUUGAAAAAGUAUCCAUUUCUGUAUGUGCAAUGAAUUUCACAUCAUAUUUAACUAUAAAAGUCACCAAUAAACAUUUAUUUUCUGUCUCUUCCUGCUAGAGAUAUUCAGACAUGUCUAGCACAUUAGACCUGAUAAGGCCACAGAGUACCAUAAUGAAACAUUUUAUUGUAGAGUCUUUGAGAUUCUGAUGCCACCUAUUCAGACAGUGCUCAUCAUGAAACUGUUGCAUUUAAUCACCCUGUCACCUAUACCAGAAAAGAGAUGAGAAUUACUUUGAAUUAAAGAAAAUUAUAGUUUAGAAGAGAAGUGACAAAAAAGAACAGAAUGAGACCAUUACAUAGCCAUUACACGAGAUUGCACAGAAACUUAUUUUGUUGAAAGUGAUAGCAGUAAACCAGAUCUUGGUCUACCACAUAGACUAGAUCCUCUGAUAAGGCUCGCAUUUUAUUUUAUACUCAGAAGUUCAAGCAAUAGACCUCAGAAAACACCUCAGAAAACUGGUUCAAUUUUGGAAAAGAGACAGAAUUACAGUCUUUCAUUGCUUGCUGUUCUGUUUUCUUUGCUGUAACAAGAAAUAAAAAUUAAUCUGCCUAUAUAAUUUUGCAAGCUAACUUUAAAGUUCUUUCCUAUUAUUUCUAUUUUAUGUGUAUUAUUUCUUUUAAAGAAAACCAUUCUAAGUAGAAAUUUAAUAUAUUUAAAUAUUAAGAGGCUCUGAUCUGUUUACUUUUCAGAGAACUACCAUCUAGACUUCAUUUAAAAUGAAAGGGAAAACCGUAACUAGGCUGUGUAAAAGAAUAAAGAAUGCUUUUGUUGCCUCAAAGUAGAAACAAAGUCAGUAGAUACGUGAAUAUAUUUAACAAACUUUUUUCAGAGCGUACAGUUGAUGUAAAUUACAUAUGUGGAAAUCACUUUCUAUGCUUGAUGAUUUCAAAGAUCAUUUUGACUAGGACUAUGAAGAAAUUAACUUUUAGUUGUUUCCCGAAAAUCACAUUUCUUCUAUGUGUUCCAAUGUGGAAUAUUGUUAACUGUCUGCUCUCUGUUUUUUUCUCAAAAAUUUUUUAAAUUUUUUAUUCAAAUUCCAGAGUGAGAUUUGGAAUCUGCAUUUAACUCCAUCAUUUGCUAUUAAUAUGAGCUGUUACUGGAAAUAUGUUCAAAAGACAUAUUACUAAAUAUAAACUUGGGCUCACACAAUUUACCUGCAUCUGUAACAGGAAAAUAUGUGGGGUGGUGGGUGAAAGAUCAAAUUCCUUAAUAUUAAAAACAAAUUUCUUAUCUGUGAUUUUUAAGAUAUGCUUUAUGCCAGAAGUAGUCAACAUUACAUCUAGGUUGUGUAAAAUUUAUUGCAGAUUGCUUCUGUGUAACAUGAAUAAACAAAACAAUAAACGAAAAAAAAAUCUGUUCAUGCAAAUACAUCAUCAAAUGAAGAACUAUGUACUUCUAAUGUUGUGGCAUUCCUACCUAGCAAUAUCUUACAUACAUUUCUAAUUGAAUUUUCUGACAUUUUAAGAAAAUUUCUUGUGUACAAUAGGAGGUGUGGCAAGGUCUUACUGUGUAUAUGCUAACAUGCAACUGUAUCAUUAUUAAAGUUAUGGUUACUGAUGGUCUGAACUCAGAUGAAAAUUCUGCAUAAUGGAAGAGAAAGAAUGCACAUUAUGAACAGAUAAACGAUCUAGAAAAGAGAAACUCUUUCAAUCUAUUUUACCAAAGAAUAACCAUACCUAGCUAGAUAAAGAGUCUUUCCAGACAACUUUCUGCAGACCACACUACCCACAAGCAGGUGCCUCACAAACAGGAAUAGCAGGGCAUGCAGAGCUGAUAAGCUUGCUAAGGCAGACCUUUCCAAGUAAAUGUUAUUCAACAAUUUUAUUAAUUUUAUUCCCAGAUUAUUUUCUUAGUCAGGUAUGUUUCAAGUUACAUAAAUACAUUAAGACUAUAGAGUAGCAGCCAGUGAAUCAUGUGUAACAAUUUUUAGGUUACGUCAUAAAAACUUUGUCUCUGCACAAGGUUAUUAAAUCAAGAGAGGCAAGGAGUAUGACUACAGCAACUUGACUUAUGCCACAGCCCACAUCCUUUCUUUGGGCACCACCUUGCCAUAUUCACUGAUUUAGAGGAGGAAGCUGUGAGAAAUAUAUCACCUGUAAUUGGCUUUAGUAGAGGUGAUACAACUACUGUGCUCACAGAACUGUAGAAAGAUUGGGUGAUGAAAAUGUUCAGAAUUGCUAUGCUUCUGGUUUGAUUCUUUCUCCUGGGAAUGCAUUAACUGCUCAGAUGCCAGGCAAUGUUCUGCAUACAACCACAAGAGAUGGCUUUUUGCUGCUAGUCUCUGUGCGUUCCUUUGACUGUUCUCCAUCAGGCCAAGACAAAAUGGAUGGAAUUUUCCUAAAGGAGAGAUUCACCUAUAAUUGCCAGCUGGAUCAUGUUCUGGAAAUGAUUCUCAUCUUUGCAUGCCUGUGACAGUCCAGUAUAUUUCUUGUUUCUAUUUUUACAUUGCUGUAAUGGAUAAUUAGACACCUCCAAGAUAUCUCUAAUAUUGAAUAUAAUAUGAAAAGACAAUA